rnacentral:lncRNA from 1 species
GUGAAAGUUUGGGAAGAAGAUCAGCAGCAGAAGAGUAGAUCCUGGGCAAGUGUAGGCUCUGGGAGCAGCAGGGUGAGUGCUGGAAGGAGCUGGCUGGAGGCAGAGCAGGGAGGUGCUCAGACAGGUCAGGAUGGCCUCAGGGAACGAGGCUCAGUGAGAAAGGGUUCACAUUUCCUGGAGAGCCCUUGUCUCUGCCCAUGGAAAACCCAGACUCCUUCCAACUGGGAUGUGCAUCUCAUGUAAAAGUUACUACUCCCAGAAAGGAAGCCAGUGGAUAUAGAAUUUUUUUUUGUAUGCAGAAAUUACUUUAAAUUUGUUUUUAAUCUUAUCCUUUUCUUCCCCCAUCUUAGUGUCUAGUGACUUCCUGCAGGUAACGCACACAUCUUAGGAGAGUGCUGUAUUUCAGUUGCUGUUGGCUCUGAUGUGACUUUGUGGUGUCAGAGGUUCUGCCCAGAGCGUGGCGCUCUCUGCUGAGCGUUGCUUGUUGAAGGCCGUGUGGAAACUUUGCCUGUAAGCUCAUCGACCCCAGCAGUCUUGGUUCAGAAACCUUUGGACUUGCUGAGACUUCCAGGGGCCUGCUAAACUUUCUUGCGUGACCUUUUCGUUUUAGUGUUCCCCAUUAAUUCAGAUGUUUUCCAGAAGAUCUAUACAACCUGGCGUUUGGCCGUGGCUUCCAGGACAGGCUGGAUGCAGAGUGAAGUCCUCUCCUCACUGUCAAUGUUUGCAGAUGUCUUCUUAUAAACUUCAUUUUCUUGAGACUUUCAAUUAGGUUUUUACUUAACUGGACUUUUAAAAUUGCCAUGCACAUAACUCUACCAGUUACAAUCUUGAGCUAAC